rnacentral:misc_RNA from 1 species
CUCAUUUCUUUUCUUCACAGGAAGUUGGAAGGACACAUUUUGAUUCUCUCUCUCUCCGUUUAUCAAUUGGGAGAGAUUGAGUUUUCAUGAUUAAGCCCAUGGCGAUUUCUUCACGUGGUCUCUCUGUUUUGGGCGUCCUCUUCUUCUUCUCUUUCUUCUUUCUCAUCGUUCUUUCCUUCGCCGAUGACGUCUCCUACGAUGACGAUUCCCCCAAGUCUCCCGGCUGCGAUCGGGCUUACAAAUUGGUCAAGGUUAUGAACUGGGUUAAUGGUGUUGAAGGUGAAACUUUAAGUGGGAUAACUGCAAGAUUUGGGGCUGCAUUGCCUUUGGAGGCUGAAAAAGGUCUCAGAUUGCCUGCCAUUUUCUCAAAUCCCUUAAAUGGCUGUUCUAGUUCUUCUUCAAAGCUUUCUGGCUCUAUUGCAGUGUCCAUACGUGGUGAUUGUACCUACACUACAAAAGCAGAAGUUGCACAGUUGGGAGGUGCAGAAGCUCUUUUAGUGAUAAACGACAAAGAAGGGCUUGCUGAGAUGGGAUGUGAUAAGGACAGUGGUUCUCCAAAUGUUUCAAUUCCUGUUGUGAUGAUUCCAAAGUCAGCAGGUGAAUAUCUGAACAAGUCAAUGGGGGGUGGACAGAAAGUGGAAAUCAAACUAUAUGCACCCAAUCGUCCUGUUGUGGAUUUUUCAGUGAUAUUCUUGUGGAUGAUGGCUGUUGGAACAGUGAUCUGUGCUACUCUUUGGUCAGAGUUUACUGCUCCCGAAGAGAGUGAUAAGCAUUAUAAUGAAUUAUCACCAAAGGAAAAUGCUUCAACAGCCAAAGAUGAUUCUGAGCAAGAAUUCAUUGAUAUUAAUGCGAAGAGUGCAGUAGUUUUUGUUCUAACAGCAUCAACUUUUCUGGUUCUACUCUUCUUUUUUAUGUCAAGUUGGUUUGUCUGGCUGUUGAUUAUACUCUUCUGCCUUGGUGGUGUUGAGGGC